UACCUGCAGCUCGAGUGGUAACCGCUAUUAUUGGGCCUAAAGCGUCCGCAGCCGGUUUGGUAAAUAUCUGGGUAAAUCGUGAGGCUUAACUUCACGAAUUUCGGAUAGACUGCCAGACUUGGGAUCGGGGGAGGUCAGAGGUACUCCAGGGGUAGCGGUGAAAUGUUGUAAUCCUUGGAGGACCACCGGUAGCGAAGGCGUCUGACUAGAACGAGUCCGACGGUGAGGGACGAAGCCCUGGGGCGCAAACCGGAUUAGAUACCCGGGUAGUCCAGGGUGUAAACUAUGUGGGCUUUGUAUUGGAGGUCCCACGUGGGCGUCCAGUGCAGAAGAGAAGUUGUUAAGCCCACCGCCUGGGAAGUACGGUCGCAAGGCUGAAACUUAAAGGAAUUGGCGGGGGAGCACAGCAACGGGAGGAGCGUGCGGUUU
rnacentral:rRNA from 1 species